ACGGUCCUAAGGUAGCGAAAUUCCUUGUCGGGUAAGUUCCGACCCGCACGAAAGGCGUAAUGAUUUGGGCACUGUCUCAACAAUGCACCCGGUGAAAUUGAAAUACCAGUGAAGAUGCUGGUUACCUGCGCCAGGACGGAAAGACCCCAUGGAGCUUUACUCCAGCUUGAUACUGGGAUUCGAUAUUGCAUGUACAGGAUAGGUGGGAGACUGAGAACUGAUGACGCCAGUUGUCAGGGAGUCACUGUUGGGAUACCACCCUUGUAGUAUUGGAUUUCUAACCAGCAGCCGUGAACCGGCUGGGGGACAAUGUCAGGUGGGGAGUUUGACUGGGGCGGUCGCCUCCGAAAGGGUAUCGGAGGCGCUCAAAGGUUCCCUCAGAAUGGUUGGAAACCAUUCGAAGAGUGCAAAGGCAGAAGGGAGCUUGACUGCGACACCGACGGGUGGAGCAGGUACGAAAGUAGGACUUAGUGAUCCGGUGGUAUAAAGUGGGAUUGCCAUCGCUCAACGGAUAAAAGCUACCCUGGGGAUAACAGGCUUAUCACUCCCAAGAGUUCACAUCGACGGAGUGGUUUGGCACCUCGAUGUCGGCUCAUCGCAUCCUGGAGCUGUAGCAGGUUCCAAGGGUUGGGCUGUUCGCCCAUUAAAGCGGUACGCGAGCUGGGUUCAGAACGUCGUGAGACAGUUCGGUCCCUAUCCGGCGUGGGCGUAGGAUAUUUGAGAGGAGCUGCCCUUAGUACGAGAGGACCGGGGUGGACUGGCCGCUGGUGGAUCUGUUGUAUUACCAAAUGCAUAGCAGAGUAGCCAAGCCGGGACGGGAUAAACGCUGAAGGCAUCUAAGCGUGAAGCCCCCCUCAAGAUGAGAUAUCCCAUAACGUCAAGUUAGUAAGACCCCUUGAAGACGACGAGGUAGAUAGGGCAGAGGUGGAAGUGCGGCAACGUAUGGAGCUGACUGUUACUAAUCGGUCGAGGCUUUAACCAA
rnacentral:rRNA from 1 species